UGUAGUUUCAGAGUUGAUGGAGCACUAGGGCGUAUUUGAGGAAAGUCCGAGCUCCGUAGGGCAGGGUGCUGGAUAACGUCCAGCGAGGGUGACCUCAGGGAAAGUGCCACAGAAAUGUAGACCGCCUGGUAUUUUCCAGGUAAGGAUGGAACGGUGCGGUAAGAGCGCACCAGCAAUCAGGUGACUGAUUGGCUAGGUAAACCCCACUUGGAGCAAGACCGAAUAGGGAAGGGAUGAAGCUGCCCGCUGAGCCUUCCGGGUUGCGUCGCUUGAGCUGUCAGGCAACUGACAGCCUAGAUAAAUAAUCGUCGCCGCGCGAGCGGAACAGAACUCGGCUUAUUGAUGACUCAUAAU
rnacentral:RNase_P_RNA from 1 species